AUUUAGAGCUGAAUGACUAUGUUCAGAGACGGCACAAAAUGACACCCUCCACCUUUUCAUGAAGCCACUUGGUUUUGUCAUUUUUUUUUUUUUAUCCGACAGAAAUAAUUGAUAAACCGAACGAGCAGCAGCCGUCCACCUUCAAGGAGGGCGCCUCCUCACCACCUGGUUAAAAUUCCUCCUCCUCGCCCCACCUCCCUACAUCCAUUUUGCUCUGUGCUGUUUAAACAAUACUUCAUCAAAUGCAGCCCGGAGCAAAUAAGAAAGCUCAGUAGAGUAAAUAAAAAGUCAAAAAAAAAAUCACCGGCUGGAGGCAGUCUAGGUCUUUGGAUCCAAUUUCAACUGGCCCAAGUUGGUGCACACUGCACAGCAAGCCAUGAGAAACACAGGUCUCCUCCUGGAAACCAGCCAGUCUGACAUCUAUGGUGUCCUCAGCUGUGCCACAGGGACUAGAUUUUGAAAAGGAUAUCUCAUUUGGGGAAAAAUAUUAAUAACAACAACAAUCCAACCCACAGGCU
rnacentral:lncRNA from 1 species